UAACCCUUUACUGCAACUUGGACAGUGAGGCUCGGGGACAGUCUGGCGUAGGAUAGGUGGGAGGCUUUGAGUCGGUGUUCCGGCCUCAGAUGGAGCCAACGUUGAAAUACCACCCUGGCUCGUUCUGGCUUCUAACCGGUACACCCCGUCAUCCGGGUGCGGGACACUGUCUGGUGGGCAGUCUUGACUGGGCGGUCGCCUCCCAAAAGGUAACGGAGGCGCGCGAAGGUACCCUCAGGCUGAUUGGAAACCAGCCGUAGAGUGCAAACGCAAAAGGGUGCUUAACUGUGAGAGGGACACCUCGAGCAGGUGCGAAAGCAGGCGUUAGUGAUCCGGUGGUCCCGCAUGGAAGGGCCAUCGCUCAUCGGACAAAAGGUA
rnacentral:rRNA from 1 species